CCUACGGGAGGCUGCAGUGAGGAAUAUUGGUCAAUGGGCGAAAGCCUGAUGGAGCAACGCCGCGUGCAGGAUGAAGGCCUUCGGGUUGUAAACUGCUUUUAUAAGCGAGAAAUAUGAUGGUAACUUAUGAAUAAGGAUCGGCUAACUACGUGCCAGCAGCCGCGGUCAUACGUAGGAUCCGAGCAUUAUCCGGAGUGACUGGGUGUAAAGAGUUGCGUAGGUGGCAUAAUAAGUAGCUAGUGAAAUCUGGUGGCUCAACCAUUCAGACUAUUAGCUAAACUGUUAAGCUCGAGACCGUUAGGGGUAACUGGAAGUUCUAGUGUAGGAGUGAAAUCCGUAGAUAUUAGAAGGAACACCAGUAGCGUAGGCAGGUUGCUGGGACGGUUCUGACACUAAGGCACGAAAGCGUAGGGAGCAAACGGGAUUAGAUACCCGAGUAGUC
rnacentral:rRNA from 1 species